ACAAGAUCAAUCGGCAGCCGGUUCGAGGGGUCUUUUACGAGCCAUCCGCCAUGCUGGAUGGUCUAACAUUUGGGGGCUCGUCCCAGAUUUGCGACCACCCUUCACCUGUAUGGAUUCGAUCUUGGAGUUUAUAAUGUCAGACAGACUGCCAGAUCCGAACAGUGACCCAAAGUCUCCAAAGAAGAUUAUGAGGCACCCAGUUCCUGCACCUGGACCAGUGAGCGAGAUGCUCAGAUAUGAUACCUGCCGCCUGCUAGAACCUGGCCGAGACUGUGGACAAAGCUGCUGGACACUGGAAAAUUGAUUGCACCGCCUUUGCCUAGACUAAACAAGAUAUCUGAGUAUCAGUUGCUGACUACAGGCUCUUCUAAGUGGACUGCAAGCCCUGGACUUGCUGUGGAUGUGAACCAGUCCAGCUGAUAUGGACACCCCCUGUCUCUGCAACAGUGUCUGCUAACCAGAAGCCCCUGAUGAAUUCCCCAUUGCCUAAAUUCCUUUUUGCUUUUGACUAGCAUUUCAACCUUCUGGGGUCCCUAACUUCGUCCCAAAGUCAGCAGGAAGCAGUUUGGAAAAGAAUUUCGCCGUCCAUUUUCCCUGGUUAAAAUGCUAAGUCAAAAGGAACUCCCUUGCAUGGGGAUGCCAAUAUCUAUCACUCCCUGAUGGGGAUGCUAGAGAGACAGCAAUUCCAUGAAAGGAAUUUCCAAAAAAGAAAAGGGGGAAUGAAGGAACCAGCUUCCCUUUUGGCAGCCAUAACAGCUGAACACGUGCUUGCCAUAAACCUGCCUUGGUCACUUAGAGGUCAGAUGCCUGUCUCCUGACAAGGAGCCAAUCAGAAGUUAGCUGGUGGCACACCAUGGGUGUGCUUUACGGACAAGCGCACAACAAUGACGUAGAGGGCAUAGCAACCACCCUGUGAGGGCCCAUGGGCCAUAACAACCAGUUGACCAAUCAACACAGGGCAAGCCCUCCAAGGCUGGAGGCACACCAAUCGUGAGCCUGUGCGUAACCCUAGACACUCCCAUACACUGCCCUAUAAAAUCUUUUGGGAGCCCCUAGGAGCAGUUUUUCUAGCCAUCCGCCAUGGCGGAUGGAUGAAAGACACAAGCUAACAUGGGGUUAGCUCGUUAAAUUACAAUAAAGCCUCGUGCAGUUUGCAGCAAGCUCUCGAAUCUGCCUGGUGAUUGGGGUGACCGUGAACGUGGCCUGGGACCCGGGAUAACUGAGGUUUCCGGGAGUCUAACAUUCACCACUGCCUGGCUCUUUUUACUUAUUAAGAAAAAAGAUACUG
rnacentral:lncRNA from 1 species